CGAAAGCAAAACAGAGAGGAAACUCACUUAUUCGCACGUGGAAUCUGGUGUGAUAAACUCUUCUAAAGAUGACAUCAUUAGCACAUCAGUUGAAGAAGCUGGCCCUGCCGCAGAAUGACCCUAAUCUGCUCAGCCUAAAGGAGGUCGCCUCUGUGCUCUUUGACCCUAAAGAUGCUGCCAGCAUGGACAGAAGCACCUUCUAUGCACUAGGCUGCACGGGUCUUGAGGAGCUGAUGGGUAUUGAUCCAGCAUUCAGUGAGUUUCAGGAAACUCUUUUCAGUCAAGCAUCUUUGACUUUAGAGCGCAGCGUUCAGUCCAAAGAGGUCAACAAGAAACUGGACAAGACAAUAUCUCUCUUUCUCACGCGACUGUCACCUUACUUUCUGCUCAAGCCUGCUUUGAAGUGCAUUGAAUGGCUAGUUCACAGAUUCCACAUUCAGCUGUAUAACCAAGACAGCCUGAUUGCUUGUGUUUUACCAUAUCAUGAGACUAAAGUGUUUGUGCGAGUGAUUCAGCUUUUAAAGAUCGAAGAACCGACCCACAAAUGGCACUGGUUGCAUGGACUUCAGAAACCUGGUGUACCUCUGGCUCGAGGAACUCUGCUCACUCACUGCUAUAAGGAUUUAAGCUUCAUGGAUUUCAUCUGUACUUUGGUCACGAAAUCAGUGAAGGCAUACUCUGGAUAUUUUCGUGAUGGGAACUGUCCACAGAUGAGGGUGAUUUUCUCAUUCUAUGCCUCUACCAUUGUUCCUGCACUUGAAGCAGUGGAGAAGAUAACUAAUCCUAUUAUCGCCAAACUACUGCCAUAUAUACAACUGGGGCUUAAAUCUGAACUUCUGGAUUACAAGGCUGCCAGUUACAUGAUCAUAUGCCAGCUGGCAGUAAAGGUAGUGAUGGAAGCUCAGCUGGUGGACUCUCUGACUGUGCAGUUAAGCAAGUCUCUCAGAGGAACACCACAGCUGGCCAGAGAGGGAUUGAGCUGCAUCAUUAUCCUCCUGCAGAACCAGAAAGAGCAAGCAGUUGGUCCAAAAGCAUUUGGGAACCUGUGUUCUGUGCCUACCCUGGUGUCCACCCUGCAGAGUAUAGCUACAGUCCAUGACAUCAGUCCUCUACUGCGAUACUUGCUGCCUCAUCUCAUUCACUCUGUCAUCAACCAGGAUGGUGAGCAGCAGAAUGAAGAUUCUUCAGGAAUUGUUGCUGGAAACCGCUGUUGUCUGUUAAAAUCAGUCUUUCAGAACCUUCAGUUGACCAGCAGCCUGGAGAAAACUGCAGCCAAACUACUUCUGGAUGAGUAUGUUUCCUGUGGCAGGGAGCUUUCCUCUGAUGGGAUUUCAGCUUUAAACCUAAGGCUGCAGUCUACCAUACGACUCUUUGAAUCCAGGUAUCCAUGUGCACUGGAUGUGGCACUGGAGAAUCAUGUUAAAAAUGUCUCAUCCGACCAUGAAAAAAGUCUGCUUCACAAGUUCAUCUCCCUGACUAUGAGCUGUGGAAAAUAUCAAAUCCUGGCAGAGUCGGACACCUCUCUGAUGCUAAGCCUGAAUCAUCCAUUACCCUCUGUGAGAAACAUGGCUGUAGACUACCUAAAAGAGAUCCUCACCUCUGAACAUAGUGGCAUUGAUGAGGCAUUUGUAAAGGAAGCGUUGCUGGAGAGAAUAAAAGAUGAUGUUCCAGAGAUUGUGCUCUCUGCCAUUACAGCACUGGAGAUGCUCAUAGGCCGUAUGGAUUCAGAGGAAAUUGUUCCCUGCUUUAUUUCACUCCUCCAUCGCAUCCAACCAUCAGCAGAGUGGUGUUCUGUGCUAAAAGAGGCCGUUCGAGUUAUCACUGACCCGUGUGUCACUGAGGGAAACCCAGAUCUGAAGGCUCGAAUAUGUUUGGAGCUCCUGCCCUUCCUAGUGGUUACCAGCACUGUGCCAGAGUGUGUGGACCUGCAGCUGGCAUAUUGUGUUGCUGAAACCACUCUGCUCUCUCAGUAUUCUCUAACUCGUGGAUGGGCUAAAGUGCUGAAAGAUGUUCUGGCCAAAACCUCUCCGUCAGAUAUGCUGGGUGUGGCCAAUCAAAUGCUCACAACCACUCUCAUCAAGAAUAUAGCCAACAUGGAUCAUGCAACAAAACGCAACACUGUAAAUAAUGUGUGUGAUAUGUUUAGUCGUCAGAGCAGCGGUGUGCGGGAGAGAGCGGUGUUUGUGGUGUUCAGUAAUGCAUUGCUUCAGAGUCUGCAGUCAAUGACAGAGAGUCAACACCUGCACACAGCUCAGAGCGUUUUUAAACUGCUGGAGCCUUCUCUGCUACAGCUGUACACUAUACAACCUGAACAGGUUUUUAAUGAGGCUGUAGAGGUAUGUGUGCCGGUGUUUGUGGGUUUGGGUGAGUUCCUGCAGAAGAUGAGCUCUGGUCUGAGUGCUGAAAGGGAACACAGUCUCCUGCUGCUGUCACUGCUGAGGCUUUUCAUCAAUGUACUCAAAUGCCCAGACUCAACAUCUAAAGAGUUGUGGUGGAACCCAGAGAAGAUAGACACUAACACCUGCUGUUACCUGCAUCUUCUGUGUCGUCUGUUUGAUGUGGUGAUAUCAGGGGCCAGUCAAGGGCCCUUGGCCCCCUGCUUCAGAAGUCUCAUCCGGCCUCUGUUACAGGUGCACCUCAGUGAUCCGAUGACCCUGUUUAAGUUCCUCUCUCUCUUAUGGGGCUACAACAGUAAUUUGGGUGAUCAGCUGGAUUGUCGAGUCAAUGCCAUACUGCAAACUCAGGCUCUAUAUGUAGGAAAGGCUUUGCUUUCCAGCCAGCCAAUAAAAACCCUCAACCUACUAGCAUCAGGUUCCUCACCAGUGGUGCCAUCGUUGCUGGUGUGUCUGUGUUCAGGCAUAUGUGAGGUUCGGAAAGCUGCCAUCGCUGUGCUCCAAACUCUUUCAGGGGUUGUUUCUUCACCAUACCAUCCGCUGGUGGAGAACCUCCUCAGAUCAAGUGAUGAGAUCAUCGCUGACCCCUCAUAUCUCAGUCAGGCGCUGUCCAAGCUUUAUGAAGAGGCAAUAUCAGGGAAAGAGAAGAAGAAAAAGCUGUUGUCGAUCGAGCAGCUCCUGCAGUGUGUGAAGUUACCCUGCUGCCCUGCAUACACCUCCAAAACAUUGCUGAGGGCACUUCAGGACGUGCAUGGAGAGCCCAUUUUGGCUGUUCUUCUCCCUGCUGUGGAACGUCUUCUUGAGCAGUGUGCUCCAGACACUGGCACCUUCCUGCCUGAUGAUGCUCUCCUCCUUCAGCUGCUGAUGAGCAAGUUCACUGACAAGUCUGCACCUUUACUGGUCAAAGACCCCCUAUGCCUGGAGGUCUUCAUCAGAGCACUGCACACCUCAGCCAAGCCGUACCCUACUAUGCCUAGUUUCCAGAUUAUUGCGCUCGAGCAGAUCACCAAGCCCUUCUUCUCUGCUCUUGGAGAUAAGAAAGUUCAGCAGAGGAUUCUUGCUGUUCUGUUUGAUUUACUGGUGGGGAACAAAAACCCUGUCUGUGCCCAAUCUAUCAACAGUGUUUUUAAAGCGAUUGCUGUGGAUGCAGAGUUAGUGGCCAAUGAGUUGACGCCUGCAGAUAAACACAGAGUUGCAGCUACAGUUCAACAAGCACGUAGGAGUAAACUACAGCAGAGAAAAACACAAGAAACAUGUGUGGCAGUGCCAGAGGAUAGCAGUGUCUCUUGGCCGAGGGUUACGCUAAUUUUAGAGCUGCUUCAACACAAGAAGAAGCUAAAGAGAGCUCAGUAUCUUGUGCCUGCUCUAUUUAAUCUACUCUCCAGAUGUCUGGAGCCUGCCGCAGCUGAGCAGGAGAAUCUAGAGUACACUAAACAACUGCUCCUCGGCUGCCUCCUCAACAUCUGCCAGAAAAUCUCUCCUGAUGGAGGACCCGUUAGCAAAGAUGUGUUGGAGGAGGACAAAUUUAACGUGGAGCUGGUGGUGCAAUGCGUCAGAACAUCAGACAUGCCCCAGACUCACCAUCAUGCCCUUCUGCUGCUCGGGGCCCUGGCAGGCAUCUUCCCUGAGAAGGUUCUUCACAACAUCAUGCCCAUCUUCACUUUCAUGGGUGCCAACAUUAUGCGACUGGAUGAUACAUACAGUUUCCAGGUCAUCAACAAGACUGUACAGGCAGUCAUCCCUGCUCUUAUAAAGGCGCAUAAGGGUGGCAGUGUCCAGUCAGAGGGUUAUAUGGAGACUGUGGUGACUCGUAUCGUACAUGUGUUUGUUGAUGCCCUGCCUCAUGUCCCCGAGCACAGGCGCUUGCCCAUUCUCAGUCAGCUGCUUGACACGCUGGACCCUUCCCGCUUCCUCUGGGUCCUGAUGCUUCUCCUGUUCAAACAGCAUGUCACACAAACUUCUGUCAAUGCAACUGGAGCUGAGAAGGAGUCAGUUGUGGAGAGGGAUCAGGAUUUCUGGAUCUCAGUUUGUUGUGAGUUUGAGGUGAAGGAACAGCUCACUUCUCUCAUCAAGAUCAUACAGUAUCUCAUGACUCUACCACAGGAUAGUGAAGAAGUUCCUGAGAAAAAGAGGACUCAAGGGAGAAGCGGAGUGAAGAAGGAAGAGACCAUCUCUGAUCUGAUAUUCAGUGUGGACAUUCACAGUGGCAAAGAACUCCGGCACUUUAAAUUCCUCUCCAUCUCUUUCAUGGCUCAGUUACUGGCCUCUGACAGUUUUGUUGGAAAGGUGGCCGACUAUGAGGACCUAACAGAAAGCACCUUACAGAAUCUUCAGCAGAAUCUACUGGAAGAGGUUCUACGCUACAUUCAUGCAGUUGCUCGAUGUGUGGAAGAUAACUCGGACAAACCCACAGCCAAGUUCUGGAGAGCUCUGCUCAGCAAGACCUAUGACACCUUGGACAAGGUAAAUGCCCUGCUACCCAUGGGCACCUUCAUCACAGUAAUGAAAGGGCUGUUGGGUAAUCAGUUGGCAUCAGUAAGGAGGAAGGCCAUGGAGCUGCUCAAUAACAGACUACAUCAGAGGACACAGUGGCAAGAGGAAGAGGUAAUUGUGCUGCUUGAGCUCAUUGAUGACCUCUUGAGCAUUGUGGGUCGUGGUCACGGUCAGUUCACUGCACAGGAAGAGGAAGAACAGGCUAUCAAUCGACAGACAGCGCUUUAUAGUCUCAAACUACUGUGCCGCAGUUUCAGCUCCAGCCACCAGGAGGCGUUUGUUCCGGUGCUGAAUAAAGCCGUUGAGCUGGUUGCUAAUAAAGAUGAGGAGAAGAACGUCAUGGGCAGUGCCCUGCUGUGUUUGGCUGAAGUGACCAGCACACUGAAGGCCCUCGCUAUACCACAGUUACACAGGCUGAUGCCUGCAGUAUUGAACACACUGAAAGAGAGGAAAGAUCUGUUGACCAAUGAGAUCUACCUGCUGAGUGCUGUCACUGCGCUACAGCGAGUGUCAGAGACACUACCACACUUCAUCAGCCCCUACCUGCACGACACCAUCUCACAGGUGACCCGUUUAACUCUGCUAGCCGAGCGACUGACGUCUUGUCCUCAGCUUACUGUGCGUCUUGCAUCUCUCAGCUCCACUCUUGCCACUAAAGUGCCCUCCAGGGUCCUUAUUACCACCAUCACUAAAUGCUACAGCAGCAUGGUGGACACACAACAGAAACGCCUUGGUCCUCUGAUGAGUAUUCUGAAGGAACACAUCGCUCACAUGGAGAAAGAGCAACUUAGCAACCACCAAUCAGAACUCACUUCCUUCUUCCUCUCUGCUCUCGACUUCCGUGCACAACACUGUCAGGGUGAUUUGAAGAAGACAGGUGAGGUUGAGGGUCAUGUGAUCGACUGUCUGCUAGUGAUGGUCAUGAAACUUUCAGAAGUCACCUUCAGACCGCUCUUCUUCAAGUUCUUUGACUGGUCAAAGAUGGAUGGAGCUUCUAAAGAGCGUCUGUUGACCUUCUACAGACUGGCAGACCAUAUCGCUGACAAACUCAAAGGACUGUUUGUGUUGUUUGCUGGACAGCUCGUCAAACCCUUUUCUGAUUUGCUUCGUCAAAUCAACGUUGCCCACACAGAUGAAGCCUUCUUUGAUCCUGAUUCAGAUGAUGAGGAUGAUGAUAAUGUGAGGAAGAGCAGUCUGCUGCUGCAGUAUGUGUUGGACUGCCUCCACAAGAUCUUCCUCUAUGAUACUCAGCGCUUCCUCAGUAAAGAGAGGGCUGAUGCUCUGUUGGGCCCCCUGGUUGAUCAGCUGGAGAACAUGUUGGGAGGAGAGGUGACCUACAAGACCCACAUCACCAAACAUCUGGUGCCUUGUAUCGCACAGUUUGCUGUUGCCAUGGGAGACGAUUCUCAGUGGAAAAUUCUCAAUUAUCAGAUUCUGCUGAAGACUCGUCACAGCUCACCAAAGGUGCGUUUUUCAGCACUGGUCAUGUUGCUGGAGUUGGCCAGCAAGCUGAAGGAGAACUACAUGGUUCUGCUGCCAGAGACCAUCCCAUUCCUGGCUGAACUCAUGGAGGAUGAGUGUGAAGAAGUUGAACAGCAAGUGCAGAAGGUCAUUCAGGAGAUGGAGACUAUCCUCGGUGAACCACUGCAGAGCUACUUUUAAUCCCACCUGAGACCAACAUAACUGAUCUUUGACCAUCAGAGAUGCUACUGAUACCCUAUUCAGUGUGCAUUCACUUAUUUACUCAUUAACUCUUUUUGCUGGAACAUGCGUCAUUCUGCAGUUCCAGCGGCACGCCUCAUCACUGAUUGACUGCUUGACCUCUGGGUUACUAUCCUACUGAUUUGCCUGAUGAUAUCACAACAUUAAACACCACAGAUCUGAGCAAUAUCCAGAUGACACAGGCUUUGACUCUAAGGUUAUAUAAAAAUGGCAUGUAUGAUGUUUAAAUGUCUUUAGUGUUUUUAGAAAUUAAAAAUGUUAUGACAAUGAAUGACAUUUUGUAAUGCAUACUGAUGUAUUUUUCUGGAAGUCUAUGAAUAUCAGUAAAAAAGAUGAAUCUGGAAAAUGUGAAUUUGUUUGAUAAAAAGAAAAAGGGGUUUCAAAUCAACAUGAAAUUAAUAUUGUCCCUAUUUGCUUGCCUUUAAUACAUGUUCCUGGUCUUAUUGUGAAAAAUGUAUCAGUGCAUAAUCUUCAUAAUAUUUCAUCCAAAUGUAAUUAUUUUUAGUUUUUUCAGCUGAUGUCAGCAAGUCUCUUAUUUCUCAACUCCAGUCCUGUCAUACCUUUUCUCUUUUGUUUUCAUUAAAUAUCCUGUUUCACUCGGAAAUAAAUCCGAAUACGGAAGUAAACUCAGUUGUGAACGCCAUUUUAUGUUGACUUGUAAGAAGAAUAAGAAAAAAAAAAAGUUUUGUUUUACAUUAUGCUUGCCUAAACAAAGCACACGUUCGCAAUCCAAAACGAACGCAGAGCACAUUUGUGUUAGGAGCACAAGACAAUUGUGGAACGUGCACAGAACCGCUCUAGUCCGCUUACUACGAGGCUGAAUCCAGCUAAUUCGCAGCUUCUUAUUGACGCUAUACGGUAAAAGACGCGACGCUUCCGCGUUUGCCAGCUUCGCAGUCACGCUCGUCUUAAAGGGGCCGUGCCGCUUUUCCACCCGUUUUAAACGAAUAAAACUUUUAUCGCAUAAUAUGCUGUGGUUUGACAGAUAAUGCAAUGUACUAUCAAAAUAAAUAGAAACAUGAGAUGCAUUCUUUAAUUUUGGACCACAUGAAGCUGUGGUGUGAUAGAAAAGGUAAUGGACUGUCACAAGGAGGCACAUUUUAUUACAGCGUUCUUUACAUGUGAACUUUAUAAGCGUGUGAAUUGUCAAAUUCGUUUAAAAAGUAUGUGAUAAAUCAAAUCAAAAUCUCAAUUUGAACAAUUAGGGGCUCUUCCUCAGUCAUCUCUAAGGAUAAGUUAAAACAGACAAGGCGAAUGAUAACCAGAACCCCUGGACAAUCACCAUGCAAAGUUUCAAACAUUUUUACUGUGGCGUUACUACGUUAUUCACCCGUGAACAUGGCAUAUUAACGAGAUGAAUGAGAUUAUAAAGGGCCCAUUUUGGAGAGGCUCCCUCUCAGUCGUCUUUAAGGAUGAUGACAGAGCUAUCCCAUUAAGAAAAAAAGAGGUCAAAACCUUUUCCACCCAAAUACCAACGAGAACUGCCAAGAUCACCUGAUUUAUUCUCAGAGGAGUCAUUACCAGAGUCCUCACUGACAAAUCUCAGCUGCCUCCGUGUCUGAGACCGUCAAUCCGUGCAUCUUAUCACGUGGCUUGUUGAGCACAUUACCACGGAGACAUAGUGCAUGUGGAGGCUUCACGCUAUUCUCUGUGGCAUCCACGCACAACUCGCCACGCCCCCACCGAGAGCAAACCACAUUAUAGCGACCACGAGGAGGUUACCCCAUGUGACUCUACCCUCCCUAGCAACUGGGCCAAUUUGGUUGCUUAGGAGACCUGGCUGGAGUCACUCAGCAUGCCCUGGAUUCGAACUCGUAACUUCAGGGGUGGUAGUCAGCGUCUUUUCUCGCUGAGCUACCCAGGCCCCUAAAAAGUAUUCUUAUCUUAGUUUUCUAUAAGAUUUAACAAAGGUUUAACUUCAAGAAACUACGUAUAUAGCGUACAAACACAAAACAUUUGUCCAAAGUCCCGAAGCGCCCCUUAAUACCCUCUUCCACAGCGACAUCUAGCGGUGAAUAAAAGUAGAACCAAAACUGUACUAUUACAGUAUUAAACUAUUACUAAACUGUAGUAUUUUAACAAAUAAGAAGUGUUAUUAUUAUUAUUAUUAACAAAACCAUAAAGUAACAUCUUCACAUAAUCAGUUUCAGCAAUAGGCCUACAUUUCAUUUACAGUUUUUGUAAUCGCAUGUAAUUUUGAUGUUGAUACUUUACAAACAUAAUUCCCAGACCAGUUGAAUAGGUAAACUAAAUGAUUGGUUGAUUUACACCCAAGAGCAGUUUAAAUAAUAAAAUUAAAUAAUGAUAGUUAAAUGAACUAAAAUAAAUAAAAACAUUGCUUUUGAAUUAAUUAGUCUUAAUAGUGAUAGUAUUUGACUAACUGGGGCCCAGGUCAGGAAGCAGACAAACUGGCUAAUCCAAACAUCUGCUAGCUGCCUUGAGAAGUCACACAGGUCACAUAAACUACAACACAUAGAGACUGUAUCACCUAGAUAUCAUAUAGAGACUGUGUCUGUUCCUCGAACUACCAAACACAAAACCCUCAGUAAAUCAUUUAGAUUUUUUUUUAAUUAAGGUCAAACUUGGAAAAAAACAAAAAACUGAAGAUAAACACAUAAAGAUAGGGCUACUAAACAUUAGAUCUCUUUCAACCAAAGCACUAAUUGUAAAUGAAAUUAUUACAGAUCAUAGUUUGGAUGUGCUCUGUUUGACUGAAACCUGGCUUAAACCGAAUAAAUAUAUUAGUUUAAAUGAAACUACUCCCCCAGGUUAUUGUUAUAAAAAUGAGCCUUGUCUAAAGGAUCGAGGAGGAGGUGUUGCUACAAUUACAGUGGUGUUUUUGGUGUUACUCAGAGGACAGGAUAUAAGUUUAAGUCUUUUGAACUAAUAAUGCUUAAUGUAACACCAUCAGAUAUAAAUCAAUCUCUACAUUUAGAUUUGCAACAACUAUUGGGCCAGUUUCUUUGUAAAAUCCCGGGCCGAAUUUUCUUCCAAGUCCGCCCCUGCUACAGUAUAUAGAUCACCUGGGCCUUAUUCUGAUUUUCUUGGUGAAUCUGCAAAUUUUCUAUGAAAUCUAGUAGUUACUGUAGAUAGAGCUUUAAUUGUUGGUGACUUCAACAUUCACACAGAUAAUUAAAAUAACACAUUGGGAUUAGCAUUUAUCAAUAUUCUUAAUGUGCUUGGAGUCAGACAAAAUGUGACAGGACCAACUCAUCACCAUAAUGAUACGCUAGAUUUAAUUCUGUCAUAUGGAGUUGAUGUUGAUACCAUAGAAAUUCUACCGCAGAGCGAUGACAUCUCAGAUCAUUACAACGUCUCUUGUAUGCUGCGAUCAGCUAAUGUUACUCAAUCUACACCACACUAUCGUUCAUGUAGAACAAUUCUUUUGACCACUAAAGAUAGCUUCACUAAUAAUCUUCCAGAUCUAUCUCAUAUUUUUGGUGUUACUCAGAGGACAGGAUAUAAGUUUAAGUCUUUUGAACUAAUAAUGCUUAAUGUAAAACCAUCAGAUAUAAACAAAUAUCUACAUUUAGAUUUGCAACAACUAUUGGGCCAGUUUCUUUGUAAAAUCCCGGGCUGAAUUUUCUUCCCAGUCUGCCCCUGCUACAGUAUAUUGUCAGAGUUUUCUGCUUUAAUGUUUUAUUUUGGCCACUAGAGGCCCUCAUUGUAUUUCUUUUCAGUUUCCUACCAUUUUAUCAUGUGUUAUUGUUUUCACCUGUGCCUUGUUCUGGACUGUGUAUUUAAGUUGUUCACUUCCUUUGUUUCUUUGCUUGGUUAUUGAUGUUCCUAGCCAGUUACUGCCGUAAGUUUGUUCUAGUUCCAAGUACUUAAACUUUGUAAGCCUUUUGGUUUGUUCUUUUCUCGUGUUUAUUUUUUGCUGUUUUUUGAUAUCUUUUUCCUGAGUUUUUUGGAGAUUAUUUUUCCUCCUUUCAGAUCCUUUUUUGGACUAAAGAUUUUUCUGUUUUUUGUGAUUGUCAGUAAGAAAUUGCUUUCUGUACUCUUUUGCUAUUUUUGUUAAUAAACUCUUCUGAGUUCUUUUAAGAGCACGUCUGACUAUUGGGUUCAACUCCCUUCUGUGACUCAGUGGUAGUAAUUAAGACUCUUGCGCCAGAGACCCAAGUUUGAUUCCUGGCUCUGACAGAAUAACCAAGCCACACUAUGAACCCAGAGAUGCCUAACGCUCAAGAACUCCUGGCCACAAUUGCUCAGCAGCAGUCCACAAUCCAAUGCCAUGAGUCAGCACUAGUCCAGCAGGAGACUGUGAUGGCUAAACACUCAUAAGUGCUGUUGGAUCUCAUGAUUUCUGUUCGUCAGAUCCUGGACCGGCUGCUCUCUACUUCAGCUACUGCUGCCUCGGUACCCCUUCCGGAUUCUCGAGUACUCUCUCCCCUGAUUGAACCUUGCCUACCUCCACCGCAACAUUUCUCAGGUGAUCCCAGUGCAUGUGAUGGUUCCUGACUCAAUGCUCUCUCACAUUUGAAUUACAACCAUCGUCCUUCCCCUCAGAUCGGGCCAAGAUCGCAUAUGUUAUUACCCUCCUUUCUGGCAAGGCUCUUUCUUGGGCAACAGCAGUCUGGAAGGCACAGGCACCCUUCUGUUCCAGUUAUUCUGUGUUUGAAAAGGAGUUCAAGCGAGUCUUUGACCACCCCCUCAGUGGCCGGCAAGCCUCUAAGAGACUUCUCACCCUCCAACAAGGUAAUGGCAGCGCGGCUGAAUAUGCCAUACAGUUUCGGACAGUUGCAGCAGGGAGCAGCUGGAACGACGAGGCCCUCAUGGUGUGCUUCCUGAAUGGUCUGUCUGAGGCAAUCAAGGAUGAUAUGGCUACCAGAGAACCUGCUCGUGAUCUCGAGACCCUCAUGGAUCAAGCAAUCUGGCUGGAUAAUCGCCUGAGGGAGAGAAGCCUGAACCGGCCAUCUGUUUCCACAUUGUCUGCCAGUCCAGCACUUGCUCCAAUGCUACCAGUGCCCCACGAGUCCUCGGAACCCAUGCAAUUGGGAAGGACUAGGCUUUCCCCAUCAGAACGAGACCGUCGCAUGAGAGAACGCUGUUGUCUAUAUUGUGGAGUGUAUGGUCAUUUUCACUCUGGCUGCACCGAACUUUCAGGAAACGCCCAGUCCCGUAUAGGCAAGGAAGGACUGUAACGGGAGUUACACGCACAGCUUUACCUUCCAACUCUGGAUUGUUCCUUCCCAUCACACUCACUUAGGGAGAUCAAAAACACCAACUCUGGGCAUUGAUUAAUUCUGGUGCUGCCGGGAAUUUCAUGGAUAUUUCCCUCACCAAGAGUCUCCAGAUUCCUAUUAAUUCCCUUCCUGCCCCCCUAACUGCGACAGCCUUGGAUGGAAGACCGUUAGCUCCAGGGAAAAUAACCCACCUCACCUCUCUCCUUGGUCUCAUCACUUACCAGCACCAGGAGAGAAUGUGCUUUCACCUUAUACAGACUCCAGAGUUUCCUAUUAUCCUCAGUCACCCCUGGCUCCUCCAGCAUAACCCACACUUUGACUGGUCCACUGGCGCUGUUCUCAGUUGGGGUCCCACCUGUCAGACUACAUGCUUGGCCCAGAAUUCCCCUGAUCUUGUUCUCGAGUCCCAAGAAACCCUAGAUCUGUCUCAAGUCCCUGCUCAGUACCACCACCUCAAGGCAGUGUUCAGCAAAAGGAAGGCCACCUCCUUACCUCCUCAUCGCCCCUAUGAUUGUGCCAUUGAGCUGCUCCCAGGAACCUGCCCCCCCAGAGGUCGUAUAUUCUCUUUGUCUCCCCCUGAACGAACUGCUAUGGACAAAUACAUUAACGAAUCCCUUGCGGCAGGUAUUAUCCAACCAUCCACUUCCCCUGCUGAAGCUGGAUUCUUUUUCGUUGGGAAGAAGGAUGGCGGACUCCGGCCAUGUAUUGAGUACAGGGGCCUUAAUAAGAUCACUGUUCGAAACCGCUAUCCCUUGCCAUUAAUGACCACUGCUUUCGAAAUUCUGCAAGAAGCCUCCAUCUUCACUAAGCUUGACUUGCACAAUGCCUACCAUCUCGUGUGCAUCAGGCAAGGAGAUGAAUGGAAGACCACCUUCAACAUGCCCACUGGGCACUAUGAAUAUUUGGUUAUGCCCUUCGGUCUCACCAAUGCUCCUGCAGUAUUUCAAGCUCUCAUUAAUGAUGGUCUCAGAGACAUGCUCAACCAAUUUGUGUUUGUCUACUUGGACGAUAUCCUCAUCUUCUUGAGUUCCCUCCAAGAACAUGUAAAACACGUCAGUAAGGUUCUCAGACGUCUUCUUGAUAACCAUCUUUAUGUUAAACCUGAGAAAUGCGAGUUCCAUGUGACCAAAGUUCAGUUACUGUGGUUCAUUAUCAAGCCUGGCCAGAUAAAAUGGACCCUCAAAAGGUUCAAGCAGUUGUGGAUUGGCCCUCCCCCUCAUCGUUAAAGGAAGUACAGCGUUUCCUUGGUUUUGCCAAUUUUUAUCGCAAGUUCAUCCGGAACUUCAGUACUGUGGCGGCUCCUUUAUCUGCCCUCACCAAGGGGAACACAACCAGCUUCAAUUAGGGACAUGAAGCAGAGUUGGCCUUCAGCAAACUCAAAAGCCAUAUUACCUCUGCACCUAUUCUCAUUCUCCCUAACCCAGAUAAACCCUUCAUCGUGGAGGUCGAUGCUUCGGAUGUAGGGGUUGGAGCUGUGCUGUCCCAAAGAGGGGAGGACAACAAGUUGCAUCCAUGUGCAUUCCUUUCCCACUGCCUUACACCGACUGAGACGAACUAUCAUGUUAGGGAUCGAGAGUUACUGGCAGUUAAGCUAGCGCUUGAAGAGUGGAGGCAUUGGCUUGAGGGGGCCAAACACCCAUUCCAAGUAUUCAUGGACCACAAAAAUCUGGAAUACAUUCAGCAGGCAAAGCGACUCAACCCCCGCCAGGCACGUUGGUCCUUAUUCUUCAACCGUUUCCAGUUCAUCUUAUCCUACCGCCCCGGCUCUAAAAACCUAAAACCUGAUGCUUUAUCCUGAGUAUAUGUAAACACUCCUCAGGAAGAUUCUAUUGCAUCAAUUAUUCCCAGUUCCAAGAUAAUAGCUCCUAUCAGGUGGGAUCUGGAAUAUACUGUAAAACAAGCCCAAGCCCGAGAACCUGACCCAGGAGGGGGGCCAACCCACUGCCUGUUUGUCCCUAAAGCUGUCCGCUCCCAGAUCCUCCAGUGGGGACACUCCUCUCGUCUCACUUGUCAUCCUGGUACCUCUCACACUCUUGAGUUCCUCCAAAGACGAUUUUCGUGGCCAACUAUCAAGGAGGAUGUGACAACAUUUGUAAAUGCAUGUCCCACGUGCAACCAAAAUAAGGUCCCUCACUGCUCUCCACAGGGGCUAUUGCAUCCUCUCUCCAUACCUCAUAGACCUUGGUCUCAUCUUUCUAUGGAUUUUAUCACUGGACUUCCACUAUCACGAGGCAACACCACUAUCAUGGUCAUAGUUGACAGAUUCUCCAAGGCCACCCGAUUCAUUCCUCUGCCCAAACUACCCAUCGCUAAAGAAACUGCUGAAUUGAUUAUAAACCACAUCUUCCGAGUCUUUGGCAUCCCACAAGACAUCAUCUCUGAUCGAGGACCCCAAUUUUCCUCCCGAUUCUGGCGGGCAUUUUGUCAAUCUCUGGGGGCUACAAUGAGUCUAUCUUCUGGGUUCCACCCGGAGUCCAAUGGGCAAAUGGAGAGGCUUAACCAGGAUCUUGAGACUACACUGAGGUGUAUGGCAGCUAACAACCCGUCCUCUUGGUCUUCCUUCGUCAUGUGGGCAGAAUACGCUCACAAUACCCUUCGCUCCUCAACUACAGGCAUGUCCCCUUUCGAGUGCCAGUUGGGAUACACCCCUCCUCUAUUCCCUGAGCAAGAAGUGGAGGUUGCAGUUCCCUCUGCUCAACAGUUCGUUAAACGUUACCGCCAGACAUGGAAAAAAGCCUGACUCAAGCUCUUGAAGGUCUCUCAGCAGUAUCAGCACCAGGCCAAUCGUAGACGCAGAUCUGCCCCCACUCUGUGCCCCGGCCAAAGAGUCUGGCUCUCCACCAAGAACAUUCCCUUGCGGGUCGAAUCCCGUAAACUUUCCCAGAGGUUCAUUGGCCCCUUCAGGAUUGCCAGGAAAGUAAACCCAGUUACUUACGUUUAUAUUUGCCUAGGUCUUUGAAGAUAAAUCCCACUUUUCAUGUCUCACUGUUAAAACCUGUUUUGUCUUCUCCUUUUCUUGCGACAGGUAAACCUCCCCCUCCUCGUAUCAUUGGUGGCCAGCCAGCCUACACAGUCCACAGAAUACUGGAUGCCCGUCGAGUACGUGGGUCCCGGCAGUAUCUCGUGGACUGGGAAGGAUAUGGCCCUGAGGAGCGCUCCUGGGUUCCUGCCAAGGACAUCUUGGACCCCAAACUAAUUCAAGAAUUUCAUGCUCGCAAGUCCUGUCGUCCAGGAGGGAACGUCAGGAGCCGUUCCUAGAGGGAGGGGUCCUGUCAGAGUUUUCUGCUUUAAUGUUUUAUUUUGGCCACUAGAGGCCCUCAUUGUAUUUCUUUUCAGUUUCCCGCCAUUUUAUCAUGUGUUAUUGUUUUCACCUGUGCCUCGUUCUGGACUGUGUAUUUAAGUUGUUCACUUCCUUUGUUUCUUUGCUUGGUUAUUGAUGUUCCUAGCCAGUUACUGCCGUAAGUUUGUUCUAGUUCCAAGUACUAAACUUUGUAAGCCUUUUGGUUUGUUCUUUUCCCAUGUUUAUUUUUUGCUGUUUUUUUUAUAUCUUUUUCCUCCUUUCAGAUCCUUUUUUGGACUAAAGAUUUUUCUGUUUUUUGUGAUUGUCAGUAAGAAAUUGCUUUUUGUACUCUUUUGCUAUUUUUAGAAAUUAAGACUCUUGCGCCAGAGACCCAAGUUCGAUUCCCGGCUCUGACAGUAUAUAAAUCACCUGGGCCUUAUUCUGAUUUUCUUGGUGAAUCUGCAAAUUUUCUAUCAGAUCAAGUAGUUACUGUAGACAGAGCUUUAAUUGUUGGUGACUUCAACAUUCACACAGAUAAUGAAAAUUACACAUUGGGAUUAGCAUUUAUCAAUAUUCUUAAUGCGCUUGGAGUCAGACAAAAUGUGACAGGACCAACUCAUCACCAUAAUGAUACGCUAGAUUUAAUUCUGUCAUAUGGAGUUGAUGUUGAUACUAUAGAAAUUCUACCGCAGAUCGAUGACAUCUCAGAUCAUUACCUCGUCUCUUGUAUGCUGCGAUCAGCUAAUGUUACUCAAUCUACACCACACUAUCGUUCAUGUAGAACAAUUCUUUUGACCACUAAAGAUAGCUUCACUAAUAAUCUUCCAGAUCUAUCUCAUAUACUCAGUAAGCCCCAAAGUCUAGAAGAACUUAAUGAAAUAACAGAAAAUAUAAAUACAGUCUUCUCUAGCACUCCUGAUAGUGUCGCCCCCCUUCGAUAUAAGAAAUUAAAGAAAAAAGUCCCGCACCAUGGUACAAUAAUCACACUCAUGCUCUCAAGAGAGAAGCUUGGAAAAUGGAGUGCAAGUGGAAGAAUACAAAAUUAGAGGUAUUUCGCAGUGCAUGGAAGGAUAGUGUCUGUAGCUACAAACAUGCACUAAAAGCUGGUCAGCAUAUUUAAACAAAGUCAUAGAAAAUAACCACAACAAUCCUAGGUGUUUAUUCAGUACUGUGGCAAAAUUGAUUAGGAAUAAAGCCUCAACUGAACAAGAUAUUCCGUUGCAGCACAAUAGUAAUGACUUCAUGAAUUUCUUUACUGAUAAAAUUGAAAUAAUCAAAUAAAAUUGGAUUUAUGCAAUCAUCUGUCACAGUACCUCAAAAAACAGUGUAUCAUAAUUUUCCUCACGUGCAACUUCAAUCCUUCGCUGUCAUAGGUCAUGAAGAGCUAACUAAACUUAUCGAAACAUCAAAAGCCACAACAUGUGUUACUGUAGAUCCAAUACUAACUAAGCUCUUAAAAGAGGUAUUUCCUGUAAUCUCAGAACCUCUUCUUAAUAUUAUUAACUCCUCGCUAUCCUUAGGACAUGUCCCAAGAAACAUUAAAAUGGCAGUUAUCAAACUGCUUAUUAAGAAACCACAUCUUAAUCCUGGAGAAUUGGCUACUUACAGACCGAUUUCAAAUCUCCUGUUUAUUUCGAAAAUACUAGAAAAGGUCGUGUCCUCCCAAUUAUGUUAAUUUCUACAGAGAAAUAGUAUAUAUGAACAAUUUCAGUCAGAAUUUAGGCCACACCACAGUACAAAGACUCACUUAUCAGAGUCACUAAUGACUUGCUCUUAUCAUCUGAUCGCGGCUGCAUUUCUCUUCUAGUGCUUUUAGAUCUUAGUGCUGCCUUCGACACAAUGGAUCAUGAUAUUCUCUUGAAUCGGCUAGCGAAUUAUGUUGGCAUUUGUGGACUUGCAUUAGCAUGGUUUAGGUCCUAUUUAGCAGACCGCUACCACUUUGUCUGUGUAAACGAGGAAUUGUCAAAUUAAACAAAAGUUAAGUAUAGAGUGCCACAGGGAUUAGUUUUAGGAGCUUUUCUCCUUAUAUUUGCUUCCCCUGGGAGAUAUUAUCAGGAAUUAUGGAAUAAGUUUCCACUGUUAUGCCGACGAUACCCAACUUCAUAUUUCUUUGAAACCCAACGAAAUUUCACAAUUCUCCAAAUUAGCAGUGUAUCAAUGAAAUCAAAGAUUGGAUGGCCAAAAAUUCCCUUCUACUUAUUUCCUUCAAAACAGAGUUAAAAACCUCUAAAAAUAAGCCACUAAAAUAUAAUUUGACUCUCGAUGGAUGUACUGUUACAUCAACUUCAACAGCAAAGAACUUAGGUGUUAUAUUUGAUACCACUAUUUCAUUUGAAAAUCAAAUUUCCAAUGUUUGUAGAACAGCAUUAUUCCAUCUAAGAAAUAUUGCUAAGUUACGACACAUGCUCUCUGUUGCUGAUGCCAAAACACUAAUUCAUGCAUUCAUGACCUCAAGACUAGAUUAUUGUAAUGCAUUACUGGAAGGAUGUCUAGCAAGUUCAAUAAAUAAAAUUCAAUUGGUUCAAAAUGCAGCAGCCAGAAUGCUGACUAGAACCAAGAAAUAUGAUCAUAGCCCCAUUUUAUCAUCGUUACAUUGGCUAACUGUUAAAUUACGUAUUCAUUUUUUGUGAUUAAAUUUUUUUAUAGAUUCACACAUAAAACAAAUAAAAAUCUAAACAUAUAUACACAGAAUCAACAUUUAACCCCCACUGCCAACCCUACCCCUACCACUCCCAAUCCCCAACACCACCCCAGCCCACAUCAAACACCCCUGUGGUCACACAUGAACACAUACUAACAAAACAACAACAACAAAAAAAUAUAUAAUAAUCACACACAUUAAUAACUACACCUCUCUCUGCACUGCUCCACCCUAAGAGCCCUCCAAGAAUGCCAAAUAUUUGCCUCAUUUCCCAACAAACAAAUCCAAAUUCCCCAGUCUUUUAGAUGACCGUUCUUUGAAAGCCACAACCCUCCCAAUCUCCAAGCAGCACUCCUGAAAUUGGGGCACUCCAGCCGACUUCCAUCUCCUUAAAUCAACUUGUCUGGCGAUCAUGACACUGGUUAGGACCCAAUUUUUAAAGUGUUUAUUCCCUAUAUUGAUGACUGCCCCAUCGCCUAAAAUACAGAGUCUGGGGCACAAUGAAAUUUGAGUGCCCAAUACGUCACACAUAAAACUCUGGACCUUCAACCAAAAUCCUUGGAUCUUAACACACCACCAACACAUGGGUUGCAUCUCCAUCUCCUGAUUUGCCAGCAGGUGGGUGUGUCUUUAAGACCAAGCCUAUACAAUCUAGAGGGGGUCCAAUAGAAUCGAUGUAAAAUCUUAAAUUGCAUAAGGCGAACCCUUGCAUCUCUAGAUGCAGACUUGACAUUUUUUAGAAUCCUAGCCCACACUCCCUCCUCCAUUACCAAGUUUAAAUCUUUCUCCCAUAAUCUCUGGACAGAAGUUAAAGCUCCUUCCCCUAGACUCUGAAUUAGCAGGGAGUAAUACACCGAUGCCUCAUGACCUUUUCCAAAAGCAGUAAUCACCACUCCCAGAGUAUCUGUCACUUUAGGGGGGUGUAUGUUACUCCCAAAAAUAGUACAGAACAGGUGGCACAGCUGUAAAUACCUGAAGAACUGAGAUCUGGGAAUCCCAAAUUGUUGAACCAAUUUUUCAAAGGAUCUCAACACUCCACUCUCAUAUAGGUCACAGAGUGUAUUAUCCUCCCACACAAUCCACUCUGACCAGCAGAAAGGGGACUUAUUAAUACAUAAUUUUGGGUUCAGCCAUAUGCUCGUGGCAACUUUUAAAUAAAUGUCAGAAUUAAACACACUGGACACUUUUGUCCAUACCGAAUGCAAAUGUGAGAUGACGGGGUAUAACUUAACUUCACUGAUAAAUUUGAUAGAAAGGAUUUGCAAUGGUGAAAUAGGGGCAAGAACGUCAUGGUUACUUGUGUAACCUCCGU